rnacentral:lncRNA from 1 species
AGAAGGAGGUGACAAUGCUGUCAACAUUCCACAAUUGAUGAUACUGUGAUUGAAGUAGACAGCAGAAAUGGAAAGAAAACUAAGGAGCCAUGUGCCAUUGUGGAUUAUAACAAGAAUAUGGGAGCGGUGGAUUUGGCUGAUCAGAUGCUCACUUCUUAACCAACUGAGAUCAAAUGUUUGGUAUAAGAAAUUAUUUCACUACCUUCUAAAAAUUACAGUGCUGGACUCCUACAUCCUGUUCAAGAAGGACAAUCCUGAGCACACAAUUAGCCAUGUAAACUUCAGACUGACAUCGAUUGAAAGAAUGCUGGAAAAAUAUCACAGACCAUAGCUGGAAUAUCUUUGAGGUCGUCCAUGCUCUGAUGAUGUCACUCUUCUUUGCCUGUCUGGAAGACAUCUCCCCAAGAGCACACCACCAACAUCAGGGGGGUGGAAUCCAACUGGUCACUGCAAGUUUGCUGCUUACACAAUGACAAGCAUAGCAAGAUCUGGAGAGAAACGGAAUAUUUUUGUGUAUAAUAUGAUGUUCUGCUUUGUGUUGUUCUGUGCUUUGAAAUUUACCAAAUUAAAAAAAAACUACU